CCUGGGACUCCAGGAUCAUGACCUGAGCCGAAGGCAGACGCUUAACGACUGAGCCACCCAGGCGCCCUUGCUUUAAUGUUCUGACUUGGAGGGACGAGCCCACAGCCAUGCCCUAUGGGAAAGGUUUUGGAGGUGACAUUGUACCCCUACCCUGCCCGCACCUUGCUGCACUCCGGAAUCCCCCUGUGUUCAUCCUGUUCUCAGGAAAACAGUUCCACCCAUUUGAAAAAGUGAGCUGCUUGCCCACAGCUUCCUGAUGUCAGUCUUGAGGCACUAGCAGCCAAAACCAUGGACGUUAUCCCAGCUGCAGCUAAACCACCACUCCGGGUGAGGGUAUGAUAUGUUUACUCUUGGUUUCCACACCCUGAUGCUGGUUACCUUUCUUUUGGCAGCUGCGACUGCCAGGUCUUCAGGGACCCGUUGGCAGUGACCGAAGCUCUGGAAUGUAAUGGAUAGUUUGGCGACACUGUUUACUUGAACAGUUUGUAAUCUGGUCGAGGAGACUAAAUGUGAGCAAGAAAAUGAUAGAAUGCAGCAUUCCCUGCAGGUCAGCAAGCCGAGUGAAGCCAGCAUGUCCUCCCACCUUAGGUGUGCUCACGUAUUUCCUGAGUCUGCCUCCUGCUUCUGGCCUCCACCAAAGCUGCCCCCUGAAGACACGGGAGCCGCUAUCUGUGGGCCUCCCCCCGGAAUCACAGGCUGAAGCCGCCCAGACAGUUGGCCAUCUUUCUCGCCUGCUCAGUUUGGACAUUUCUUCAAUUUCAUCCUCGGUUUCCUUGGAAAUUUCGUUUGCUUGUCUUCAUGUCUCUCCUUGGAGGGGCUUCCUUCCUUUCGUUAGUUAUUCAUUGGGACUUUGUUUUUUUCACCUGGAGUUUGGGGAUCUUGAAUACAUUUGGGGAUCCCAAAACUUUAAGAAAACCUUUUUCAAAGCUCUCUA